rnacentral:ncRNA from 21 species
AACUUAUUAAGAGAAGUGGAGGGACACGGCCCUGAGAAACUUCAGCAACCGGCGAUGCAUACGCACGGUGCUACUACCAACGAGAUACUCGAAUGAUAAGUA